UACGAAGGGGGCUAGCGUUGCUCGGAAUCACUGGGCGUAAAGCGCACGUAGGCGGAUUGCUAAGUCAGGGGUGAAAUCCUGGAGCUCAACUCCAGAACUGCCUUUGAUACUGGCGAUCUUGAGUCCGGGAGAGGUGAGUGGAACUCCGAGUGUAGAGGUGAAAUUCGUAGAUAUUCGGAAGAACACCAGUGGCGAAGGCGGCUCACUGGCCCGGUACUGACGCUGAGGUGCGAAAGCGUGGGGAGCAAACAGG
rnacentral:rRNA from 1 species